AUUGCAAACUUACUCAGGCUUCUUAAUUGUUAGAGAAUUUUACACUAAUGCAACGCAUUAAAAGGUGAAUUCAACAGAAGCUAAAUGCUACUUCCAUGAGCACUAACUCAAAAAGUGAGAGGAAUAGUCAUUUGAGAUAAGUUGAGAACUAGGCAGUUUUUAGGGAAAUAAUUUGAGAACUAGACAGUUUUUUUAAAAAUAGGCUGAUAGGGUAGUUUCUUCUGUCCUCUCUAAUACAGCCCUCCUCUAAUACAGCAAAUAGUCAAAGACCGUUUUACCCCUCUUGUGUUUUGAUGAAAACUAAUGGGCCAAAUUCAAACCAGCCCAAUAUCAUUCAAAAUUCAAGAUUUGUCAUGGGCUAAUAUCACAAAACUCAAACCCAUUUGUCCUCAAGACAUUGAAACCAAACAUAAACUUAUCUCCUAAACCCUCGUUGAACAUAAACUUCUCUCGUCGUCGACAUCUUCUCUGAAGUCGUCAUUGUCAAAAGAAGAUAAACCCUCGUCACUUCGAAAAUCAUACACACAUUGUCAAAAUCUGUCGAGAUGGAAGGUAUGAGUUAUCAUAAGAAGCUUUACAGUUUAUGAAAUUGAGUGUACGGCCAACAAAUAACGAUGGAGACGAUGACUCUGUUUUCGUUUUUUCAGGGGACGAUGAAUCCUGCGUCUCCAUGGUCGGCCGGUGGAUUUGCUACUCCAAUGGUUGGUGGGAUUUCAAGGUUGAUAAAACUAGGCCAGGAAAGGCUAUUAACUGCGAAAAAAUUCAGACUUUCAAAUCACUUGAACAAGUUCUCCGGCGAAGAUUCUCCAUGGUUGGUCACGACGUCUUUUGUUUAGUAUUCUAUCUUGGCUAGUGUACUAGUCUAGUGUACCGAAGUGGUGUACUGUUCUAGUGUUCUCACUUUGUGUACUAUCAUAGUGUACGCAUUUGGUGUACUAGUCUAGUGUACUAGUCUUGUGUACUACUGGUGUACUGUUCUAGUGUUCUCACUUGGUGUACUAUUAUAGUGUACCCAUUUGGUGUACUAUUCUAGUCUACUUCUAGAAUGUCAAAGUAUCAAUCCAAAUUAUAAUACAAUAUAUUUCAAUUCAAGUGUUAUGAAGCAUAAUAAUAAUCUAGGGUUAUGAUUUUGAAUUAGGAAUUUAUUUAUUUACUUGGAAUUCUAAAUUCUAGUAAUCUAAGGCUUUAGGGUAUAGUUUUAAACUUUAUUCCAUAUGAUAUAUGGUUUUCCUUGGGUUUAGUCUUCUCUCUUUGUCUUUUAGUGUAUAGUUUUGAAUUUCACUACAUUUCAAUAAUGUCUUUUAGUGUAUAGUUUUAGGGUAUAGUUUUUAAUUCCAUUGCAUUUCCUAAAUGUUUUUAGUAUAAUAGUAGACUAGUCUAGUGCACCAAAGUGGUGUACUGUUUUUAAUUCACUUGGUUACUAAUUGGUGUACCCAUUUGGUGUACUAUUCUAGUCUACUAUUAUAUUCUAUCUUGGCUAGUGUACUAGUCUAGUGUACUAGUGGUGUACUGUUCUAGUGUUCUCACUUGGUGUACUAUUAUAGUGUACCCAUUUGGUGUACUGGGUUUCUCUCAAACGUCUCUCUUCUCGAACUCGUUCACCCUCGAUUUGUUGUACACCGACUGUGGCUAGGGUUCGUGAAAAACCAAGAAGAGUAAAGUAACUCAAUCUCAGAAUAAACACGGGCUCAGAAGUUAUUUGGAUAAAAAACGUAAUGAAACUAUCGGGCUCAAAUAUUUGGGCUCACUUAAUACGAAUUGGAGUUAACGGGCCUAAAAUGAGUUUUAAAACCCAAUCCAAUUUGUUUCGUCGAACCCAGCCGGAAUGUGUGUUUUUAAAACACAAGGCUACUAUUGUAUUUGACACCUCUUUUGGAUUUUUGCUACCUUUUUCUAUCUCACAUGAAUCCUAUUAGACAAGCCCAAUAAAAAGUACCCUCUUAGCAUAUUUCCAAAAAAACUGUCUAGUUCUCAAAUAAUUUUCUAAAAACUGCCUACUUUUACAAUAAACCCUAGUCAUUUCACUUU
rnacentral:sRNA from 1 species